rnacentral:tRNA from 1 species
AGUCCAAUAGGGUAGCGGAUAUCCUUGAAGCCUGCGGAGCCUCAGACCCAGGGUUCAAGUCCCGGUUGAGACUA